AUUGUCCUUAUCAAGUGGGAGCUCAAUACUCAAGGAUCGUCUGGUGAGAGUAUUGAUGCUGAAACCAUAUUAAAUCACCGUACCCGGCAUUACGUCCGUGGUACAAUUUUUGGAAGG